rnacentral:misc_RNA from 1 species
UGGUCGGAGCAYGAGUCGGUACACGAGACGCUAAACGAAGGCAUCGACCGGAGACACUUGAUGGCACAUUAGUCGGUAUACGAGGGUUAUUGUUGGGACACGAGUUGGAACACUAGUCGGUAUACGAGAAKGACGCCCCCGAGUGGGCAYGUCGUUYGGGAUUUCCCUUGACGGCGUGCCUGCGCCAACGGUUGGUCUAGGCCAAUCGGGCUGAAAUGAAGUUGUGGUCACACAACGUCAUYGAGGCAAGUUGACGGUCGACCUGUUGAUUCAUGUCCCAAGUGAGAUUUGUUGCCCAAGCCUGGCUUGCACCAAACGUCACUAUGAUAUGGAUCAACAGGUCGAGGCAUGUUGACGGUCGACCUGUUGAUUCAUGUYYYMWSUGAGAUUUGUUGCCCAAGCYCGACUAGCACCAAAUGUCACUAUGAUAUGGAUCAACMGGUCGAGGCAUGUUGGUUUUGUUGUUUUCUUUGUUACUUUCGCAUCGUUCGGUGCAUUCUGGGGACUGUUUUGACUUUUGGUUGCUUGCUUGGCUUUUCGCCGGGUGGGUCGCUACUAGUUGGGCGGUUUUCGGGAAUGUCGACCGUAAAGGUGCAUGAGUGGUGUUUGGUUUGUUACGGGUGGUUGGCUGUCUGCUCUCGCAGCAACGUCCACGCGUGCAUACCUCUUCAGUUUUGCGUCAAGGCUUUGAACGUCUUGAGCAUAUUGUGGGUUUGCUGUGUUGCAUACCUAACCGAUGGUAACGUGUGGGAUUUAUGAUGUCCUUUUUCGUCAUGCGUCGCUUAUGCGGUGUGAGAUGAACGUUGAAGCGCUCUUUGNGNUCCACCUUGUUGUUGCAAUUGCAACGAUGAUGUGGCCUAUGAAGCAUCGCUUGGUCUCUUGUAUACGGAACCUGAUGUGGGCAUGGGUCUUCUAAGAUCCUGAAUUUGCCCUCGUUAAGCGUUCUCGCUUCUCCAAAACGAUUGUCUGCCAUGUCUUGGCUUGUCCUUGCAUGGUGGGCUACGUCGA